AUCUAUCUUGCUGUGUUUGGACAGGCCAGCCCCUGAAACAUCUUGGGCAAUGGAGGGUUAACUUCUCAAAGUUUAAUAGGCAAGACCAGCAACCACGCAACAAGGUCAGGGAAUGCACUGGGGCUGACGACAAGGCUGGAACGUCCCGGGAUUGAAGCUUGGAUCCGAACUGUUGGACAGCGUCUGGAGUUUUGCACAAAAGAGAAUUGAAUUGUAGAUCAGCUGGGAAGUUACUGUGGUAGUCCUGGUGCCCUGCGGCCUCCAGCGACUGGAACCCUGUGGGAGCACAUAGCUGGCAUUUUUUGCUAGAGAUUAGGAAGUCUUUUGCUUCCUCUGUGAAAAGGCUUGAAUUCAAUGGACUGUGUGGACUUCAACUAACCAACUAAAGAACUGUUCCCCAGAGCAUUGUUCCUGAGAAGGAAAAGAGUCCAAACACCCACCCACACCUGCUUUGUGCCAAGAAUCCACAGUUGGAUUGCAAGGACAGUGCGUUCAAGACCCAGCUGUUGAGAGUAGAAAAGCAGAAGAAAGGACCCGAGGUCAGCAAGUGCCCUCCCUACAAUGGGGCAGGUCUGCCAGGGAGAAUCGGCUACAGCAGCUGAAAAACCAAAACUUCAUCUACUUACUGAAAGUGAGCAUUGUUGAUGCUCUUGAGAGCAUCAGCCAGGACAUUCAUGUGC
rnacentral:sRNA from 1 species